AGUGGGCGAGCAAGAAAGGGGAGAAGAGAGAGAUGGAAGGAGAGAGAGAGAGAGGGAGGGGGAAGCGGAGGUACAGGGGAUUCUGAUGUUCUCUGUUGCACACAACCGCACUGCUCGCCCUAACUGCACUAUCCAUGCUGCUGUAUCCUAGACUGUCUGCAUGAGACGAGUCAGUUGACUGUUUAGCCUAUCGAAGCAUUUCUCGGCUCGACUCUAUACCUGUCCCCACUCUUCAAAACCUUCGAUCGACUGAAAGUGUUUUUCCAAGGAAAGAUCGUUGAAAGUGCCUGUCUAAGCGGCUUAGAAGAGAAGAGAGUGACUUGUCUGCAGAACUCUCCGCGCUGCACGUUCUCAAGAUGAGCGAGCUCAGGUCCACUGGGAAUCCCAACAGCAGCCAGACGCCGGCAUUGGACAACAAAGGUCUGCCUGACUGUUUAUCUAUUCAGACGCUGUACUCUGUGAACUUUAUGUCUCUCCAUCUGUCUCUCUCUGUUCCCCUCACACUCUCUCUCUGUCUCUCCCUUUCUCCACCUCACACUCUCUCGCUGUCGCUCCCUCUCUCCCCUCACACUCUCUCUCUCUGUCUCUCCCUUUCUCCACCUCACACUCUCUCUGUCUCUCCCUCUCUCCCCUCACACUCUCUCCCUCUCUCCCUCUCUCCACCUCACACACUCUCUCUCUCCCUCUCUCCACCUCACACUCUCUCUCUGUCUCUCUCCACCUCACACUCUCGCUCUGUCUCUCUCCCCUCACACUCUCUCUGUCGCUCCCCCUCUCCCCUCACACUCUCUCGCUGUCUCUCCCUCUCUCCCCUCACACUCUCUCUCUCUGUCGCUCCCUCUCUCCCCUCACACUCUCUCUCAGUCUCUCCCUCUCCCCACCUCACACUCUCUCUCUGUCUCUCUCCACCUCACACUCUCUCUCUGUCUCUCCCUCUCUCCCCUCACACUCUCUCGCUGUCUCUCCCUCUCUCCACCUCACACUCUCUCUCUGUCUCUCUCCACCUCACACUCUCUCUCUGUCUCUCUCCACCUCACACUCUCUCUGUCGCUCCCUCUCUCCACCUCACACUCUCUCUCUGUCUCUCUCCCCUCACACUCUCUCGCUGUCUCUCCCUCUCUCCCCUCACACUCUCUCUCUGUCUCUCCCUCUCUCCCCUCAAACUCUCUGUCUGUCGCUCCCUCUCUCCCCUCACACUCUCUCCCUCUCUCCCCUCACACUCUCUCUCUGUCGCUCCCUCUCUCCCCUCACACUCUCUGUCUGUCGCUCCCUCUCUCCCCUCACACUCUCUCUCUGUCGCUCCCUCUCUCCCCUCACACUCUCUCUGUCGCUCCCUCUCUCCCCUCACACUCUCUCUCUGUCUCUCCCUCUCCCCACUUUCUGUUGUGUAUCUGUAUCCUUAA
rnacentral:lncRNA from 1 species